AGGGUUGAGUGCUCACUCUCUAUACUAAAAUGAUAACAAUAUAGAGAUUAGUAUUGCCCCUAUGCAAGGAUGAUGCACAAAUUCAUGAAGUGUUUUAUACUUAA